rnacentral:tRNA from 1 species
GGGAAUGUGGCUGAGUGGUAGAGUGCUUGCCUAACAUGCAUGAAAUCCUGGGUUCAAUUCCUCAGCACCA